ensembl:misc_RNA 7SK 7SK RNA
GGGCGUGGGGGGGGGUCAUCUGGCUGAGACAUCUGUCACCCUGUUGAUCACCAGAGUUGAUCUGGCUGUCUAAAGGGGUCCCCUCCCUCCCUCACUACUCCAUGUGGGUCCCUCGCGAAGCUGUGAGGAUGACCUCCCUUGAGCAGAGAGACGAGACGGGUGGUCUUUUUGGGUGUAUGAGUAGCUGUUCUCCCACACUUGAGCUUUCAAGCAAGUUCUCAAGAAACUGUAGCACUGUUUUGCAUUCUUUCUCUUUGAAAAUGUAAAGUGUUUGUAUGAACAAUGUUU